GAACGCUGGCGGCGUGCCUAACACAUGCAAGUCGAACGGAACUGCGGAGCGGAAUCUUCGGGAGGAAGCACCGUACGUUAGUGGCGGACGGGUGAGUAACGCGUGAGGAACCUGCCUUUCAGAGGGGGACAACAGUUGGAAACGACUGCUAAUACCGCAUAACGCAGCGGGAUCGCAUGAUCUUACUGCCAAAGAUUUUAUCGCUGAAAGAUGGCCUCGCGUCUGAUUAGAUAGUUGGCGGGGUAACGGCCCACCAAGUCGACGAUCAGUAGCCGGACUGAGAGGUUGAACGGCCACAUUGGGACUGAGACACGGCCCAGACUCCUACGGGAGGCAGCAGUGGGGAAUAUUGCGCAAUGGGGGCAACCCUGACGCAGCAACGCCGCGUGAAGGAAGAAGGUCUUCGGAUUGUAAACUUUUGUCUUCAGGGAAGAUUAUGACGGUACCUGAGGAGGAAGCUCCGGCUAACUACGUGCCAGCCGCCGC
rnacentral:rRNA from 1 species